ACUGAGGACUGCUACUGGCACGUGGCUUUCGUCCAGAGACUCUGAGCGUUUGGGCCUCCAAGUGCAGGGGUACUGCUGCCCCCUCCUGCAGAGGCCCAGCAGUGGAAGGGUGAUCCCACAGAGCAGAGGGGGAGGAGAUGAGAAACUGUUCAGCAGCAUCAGGGUGAGGCUGGAAAGCAGAGCAAAACCAGCAUCAAGGUCCAAAACUGGGAGCAGACCUGAGAUGACCUCACAAAGUGGAGCUCCCACUGUGGGCCAAAGCAAAGAUCCAGUCGAUGAAAGAACAGAGACCUCGAGAACCCCCUGCGACAGCGAGAGGCCGGCUCGACACACGCAUCCUGCUUCCACAAAGGUUUCAGAGCUCCAUCUAUAUCUGCCGUCAUCACUGUGUGAAGAUGAGAAGCAG